UACAGAGGUCCCGAGCGUUGUUCGGAUUCAUUGGGCGUAAAGGGUGCGUAGGCGGCGGGGCAAGUCUGAUGUGAAAUCCCGGGGCUCAACCCCGGAACUGCAUUGGAUACUGCCUUGCUAGAGUACUGGAGAGGAGACUGGAAUUUACGGUGGAGCAGUGAAAUGCGUAGAGAUCGUAAGGAAGGCCAGUGGCGAAGGCGAGUCUCUGGACAGUAACUGACGCUGAGGCACGAAGGCCAGGGGAGCAAACGGG
rnacentral:rRNA from 1 species